GGGAGUGUGGAGCUUCAGGUCCAGGGUUUCACCCACCCUCAAGGACUCCUCGGACGUGUGUUCUGGAGAGAAUUACAGAAGAAAUGAGACGCAGAAGUGGCAGAGAGGGAGGUGGUGUGAUGUUGGACACUCCUGGCCUGUGUUGUCCCCAGUCUCGGCCUUGUUUGGCGCCCUCUGUGUCUUUGGACUCUGUUUCCAGUCAGAUGAGCUUGCUGCAAAUCCUUGGCUUGCUGCCCUAGAUUUACAAAGGCUACGUUUAUAGAGGAAAGUUUGAACUUCUUUUUAAUCAAUGCAAAAAAACAAAGCAUUGUUUUAUACAUAUACUGUAUAUAUAAAACUAACACACAGUAGUUUAAUGUGAAUAAACCAUUUAUUAAUGCAUUUUCAAAUCACUAAGCAUAUCUUCAUGUAGAUUACUGAAAGAGACACCAACAAACUAGCAGGCUAAUUGUUCAUAUACAGUGCCUCCGGGAAAGUAUUCAGACCCUUUGACUUUUUCCACAUUUUGUUAGGUUACAGCCUUAUUCUAAAAUGUAUUAAAUUAAAAGAAAUCCCAAAUUGUAAGUCAAUAAUUGGAAUUAAAUAUCAUAAGAGUACCACUAGGUGGCAGUGUAGUAUAUUGUUGCUGUAUUGAUGCUGUGACUACAGCUUUUCAUUAGUGAAGACAUUCAGCGUCGUCCAAACUAACAUUUUGGAGUUAUAUGUACAUAGAAAGCACUCUUUUCCCAAAACAA